AGUGAACGCUGGCGGUAGGCCUAACACAUGCAAGUCGAACGGCAGCACAGUAAGAGCUUGCUCUUACGGGUGGCGAGUGGCGGACGGGUGAGGAAUACAUCGGAAUCUACUUUUUCGUGGGGGAUAACGUAGGGAAACUUACGCUAAUACCGCAUACGACCUACGGGUGAAAGCAGGGGAUCUUCGGACCUUGCGCGAUUGAAUGAGCCGAUGUCGGAUUAGCUAGUUGGCGGGGUAAAUGCCCACCAAGGCGACGAUCCGUAGCUGGUCUGAGAGGAUGAUCAGCCACACUGGAACUGAGACACGGUCCAGACUCCUACGGGAGGCAGCAGUGGGGAAUAUUGGACAAUGGGCGCAAGCCUGAUCCAGCCAUACCGCGUGGGUGGAGGAGGCCUUCGGGUUGUAAAGCCCUUUUGUUGGGAAAGAAAAGCAGCAGGUUAAUACCCCGCUGUUCUGACGGUACCCAAAGAAUAAGCACCGGCUAACUUCGUG
rnacentral:rRNA from 1 species